CAUGAUUAACUAAGGUAAUAAUCAGCUAUAUGAUGAAAUCAGUUCAGCUACUCAAAUUUAAUUUGCUAAUACUCAUGAUACUCUUGUUAAUGCAUAUGAAGCCAACUUUAAUAUUCUAGAUCUGAAGUCUAAUAACAAUUUAAUUAUAUUGGACUUCAUUUUCAACAUGUGCAUAGGGAACGCCUAUCAUCAAUUAUAUCACAGCUGAGAUCAAAGUCAUACAAACCUGGAAAGUCUUGUCCAUUGUUCAUACAAGUACAAAUUGAGCUAUGAUUACUCUAGAUAUCUACACCUAUCAAAACAUUGACAUAUGAUGACGUAAAUGAACAUAUAUUGGGAAUAAACUCCUGUACAAUUUCAUUCCAUUUCCUAUUCGAAUUACAUCAAAGCUGAUUCAAGGUGUGUACCUGGAAUUUGAGGCAAAACAAAGAAAAAUGGCCAGUCAGCAGUGUCACAACAAUUCAGCAAUAGAAAUUAGAUGCUUGAGGUAAUGAUAUAAGUCUAGAAGCAACAUCAACUGACACAAACCAGUUUCAACUGAUGAACCGACCAAAAACAUCUCAAAUACACCCAAAAUGACUCGAAUAGACCAAUUUCAACUUGAAAUCAACCCAUGAGCCUUUAAUCUCAAUUACUGAAUAGAACUCAAUGUAACAGUCUUUUUUUGGGUUUUAUCCUAUUUUUCUUUUGGUUUUGAAGAACUAGAUCUAGAAUAGAUUUCCUAACUCUGAAAUUUCAGCUGUGGCUUUUUAAUUUGAUACUCAAAUUUUCAGAUUGUGAAAUUUCUUCCCAAA
rnacentral:lncRNA from 1 species